ACAAACACCUUUUUUGGUUCUUUCCUUGAGCCUUCUAUAUUUAUUCUCAACUAGAGAAAACACAAUAUAGUUCUGUUUCUUUAGCAAUUUUCUCAUUUUGUGAGUAAAUGAUUGCUCAUUUUACUCAUAAUCAAUUUCUCCCGUUUCAGCAAAAUCUUACAUUCAUCUACAGUAUUGUUAAAAGUCUGGAACACCCUCAUAUUGCACAGCUUGCCAGAAUCCCUCCUCUUUGGAUUAUCUGUCAUAUCUUAUUCAACCCAAGUACUUCUUUUUUUCUACUUUGCCAACUUGAUCUUGAUGCUUAUCUUAGCCAUGUUAAUAGUAAUGAAGCUGAGGCAUCGGUGUCUGCUAUCAAAGACUGAAGCUCAUGGGUUCUGAAUUCUAAUAUGAAACUAUCCUUGUUUUUGAGUCAACAAUGACAUCUAGCUUUUCUGGUUGUCUGCUGGCUAUCUGUAUAUAUUUUUGCAGACUGCAACUAAGAUUGCCUCUUGGAUGGUUUAAAACACUUUUGAUGCUCCUACUUAUCUUGUGUUGGAACUAACAUGGGUUCUAAUAUUUCAAUAUAUAUUAAAGUUUGUUUUAAAUUUGU